AGACGGGUGAGUAACACGUGGGUAAUCUACCCUAGAGAUUGGAACAACAGUUGGAAACGACUGCUAAUACCAAAUAAUUCAUAUUUAGAUAACUAGAUAUGCUAAAAGGAGCUUCAAAGCUUCACUCUAGGAUGAGCUUGCGGUGUAUUAGCUAGUUGGUGGGGCAAUGGCCUACCAAGGCAACGAUGCAUAUCCGGGCCGAGAGGCUGUACGGACACAUUGGGACUGAGACACGGCCCAGACUCCUACGGGAGACAGCAGUUAGGAAUAUUCGUCAAUGGGGGAAACCCUGAACGAGCAAUGCCGCGUGAGUGAUGACGGCCCUUAGGGUUGUAAAGCUCUGUUAUAAAGGAAGAACAGUCGAUAUAGGAGACGAUAUCGAUUUGACGUUACUUUAUCAGAAAGCUCCGGCUAACUACGUGCCAGCAGCCGCGGUAAUACGUAGGGAGCGAGCGUUAUCCGGAUUUAUUGGGCGUAAAG
rnacentral:rRNA from 1 species